ACAAGACCUUUUCUGGUUCUAUUCCAACGAGAUAUCCCACACCGAUCACAAACUGAAGCUCUUCAGACUUGAUAUCGUGGAAGCUCAACAAUGGUGUUCGUCCCUUCGGGGACAUCCGAUAAAAUUGGAACGAUACAGAGAAGAUUAGCAUGGCCCCUGCGCAAGGAUGACACGCACAAAUCGAGAAAUGGUCCAAAUUUUUUUUUGCCUUGCCGGCGGCGAUUCUCCGGCUGAAAUUUUUUCCUCACUUAUUUUUGCCGGUCGUCGUCGGCGGUGAUGCACUCUUACGAGGUUUCUUAAGGUCCGUAAACUGUUCGGAUUUUAUAUCAUUCUGUUUAAUUUCAUGUUUCCCCAAAUGGCGAUAGGCUUAUUACUGUAAUUUUUGUGAAAUUCACUCGUGAAAUCUCAAGCAUUUAGGAAUAUGAGCACCUAAGGUAUAUUCCCACUCCAUAGGCAGUUAGGGAUUGUUAAUGUCGAUGGGAUUCUGAUACUGCAUCAUACAUUGUUUUGGUAUCUUUUUUAUAACCUAUGAUAAUUAGUCAAAGAUAUAUUACAUCAUAACAGAAUUAACAAAUAGGCAUGAGCACAUAGUAUACCAACAGUGAAGUACUUCCUUGCAGCGAGAAGCCUUCCUAUGGCAAAGAUGAAAGAAAGGGACUUCAAUCGAAGGAAUGAUUCUUUUCAAUUAAGUUGUACGAAAUGUAGAGAUAUGAUCCUUUUCUGAAGUCCUCGCGAUUUAAGUUACAAAAGAAGUUUUUCUCCUAGCAUUGUGGCAGCUUAUACAUAAUUAUGCAUUUUGUGGGAUCUAUCCCUGAUUCCCAGAAGAUAGUGGAAGUUGGUUCAACAGAUGGACUGGAAAACGAGAAGACAAUUUUACCUGCUUAAGUGAAUACUGAACUUAUUUUUUUUUUUAAAAACUAACUUAUAAAAUUGCUUGUCUCCGCAAUGCAGCCUGUGGUCUAAGCCACUAGUUUUGUAUGUUGAAAAUUGGUAUGACUUUUGUGUGUCCGAAUAGCGUAAUCAACCAUAUGCUGUUUAUCGAGUUCUCCUUGAAGGCAUUUGUAAUGCGGUAAGAUAAUUUUAUCCUUGCACAUCUUGCGUUUAUCUUUUUUCAUGUAUGUGUUAACAUCAGAAUGUCUAAAUGGCUAAUAUCAUAUGGCACGGGUCAAACAAAAUGGAUUAGGUUCUAUUUACCUUUGCCUCGCAAUCCCCUAACUUCCUUCCUUAAUGAUUUGAUCUGAGAGAGAGGUGGUUUAACUGUGAUUCUCCUAAUUCUCAAAUUAUCUAUUUACCACGUGAGGUGAAUCAGAGUAGGUAACUUUUUAUUUCAAUCUCAGGUUUUGCAAAACACCUAAUUGAAUUGUUAAUGUGGAAUUUAUGCAAUAUGUUUGCUUUAAGACUUAAAUGAUAUGGUACAAUAUAUUUGUCGAUUGUUUUUCUUGGCAAUUCACAGUGGAUUCCUCUGGACCUGGAGGUUGUCCAUAUGCUCAGGUGCCUCUGGAAGUGUGACUACUGAGGAUGUUGCUUCAAUGCUUAUUGGACUAGGAGUGAAGACAAAUGUUGAUCUCAGAAAGCUUGUAUUGGCUGGAGACUUUAUACUUUAUUUGCAAACAUUUUUCGGUCAGCCUUCUGGUUCUGUGUUUGCCCUUGAGCUAUAAGCAACUGGUACUGCCUAAAUCUUAAGAGAAGGAGCUUUACGGCACAAUAAAAACCCUAGCUCAACAUGGGAGUCCGAUAAAAUUAGCAUGGCCCCUGCGCAAGGAUGACACGCACAAAUCGAGAAAUGGUCCAAAUUGUUUUUGCUGAGUUUUUCCGGUCGGCCGCGGCGAUGCUCUCUCCCGAGAUUUCUUGAGGUAUUGGAGGUUGUCCAUAUGCUCAGGUAAACCUGAAUAUGUGACUACUGAGAGGAUGUUGCUUCCAUGCUCAAUGGACUACAAGUGAAGUCAGAUGUGGAUCUCAGAGAGCUUACAUUGGCUGCAGGAGACUUUAACUGCAACCUAUCUGGGGGGCUUCUGGUUCUUUGGUUGCCAAUUUUUUGAGCCCUGAGCAACCGGUGAGGACUGCACGAACCCUCCGUGUUGCAUGCAAAGUUAGGGGAGGACUUAGAAGAACAAUUAUACGUAUGGAUUGCCUUGUGGAAGAGAGAAUCAUAAUCGUGCAUGGGUUGGUAAUUUGUAAGACGAUAACAGUAUGAAAAGGUGAAGGAACUACUAUAUCUUUAUGGAGCAAACUCAUUUUAAUGUUACUGACUUAGAUGCUUUUUGAAAUAAACUUCUUAUAUGAACUUGUAUUGAGUCGAUGAACCCGUAGGUGAUAUUGGAAUGAUGGUCAGGUUAGAAUGUUAGUACUUAAUACUAGUCUCUAAGAUGGUACAAAACAAACUAGUAUUAUCAUAAUUGUUGAAUACAAGCCAUUGCUUUAUCCACUGCAACAUGUUGUUGGACCUAAGGAUAAUACAUUGCAGCAUGUCAGCUCCUGGGGUUUAUUUCACGAGGCAUUUACAUGUUCUUCAAACUUGUCUAAGAACUGUACAUAACAUUUGUUUCCUGCUGAGGAAGUAUACGAUUGUGGGUAGUUUGAUUGAA